UACAGAAGGUGCGAGCGUUAAUCGGAAUUACUGGGCGUAAAGGGUGCGUAGGUGGUUAAUUAAGUUAAGUGUGAAAUCCCCGGGCUUAACCUGGGAACUGCGCUUAAUACUGAAUAACUAGAGUACUGUAGAGGAAGGUGGAAUUUCCAGUGUAGUGGUGAAAUGCGUAGAUAUCGGGAGGAACACCAGUGGCGAAGGCGACUUCCUGGCCCGGUACUGACGCUGAGGUGCGAAAGCGUGGGGAGCAAACAGG
rnacentral:rRNA from 1 species